GGGUCGGUGCCCGAGUGGUUAAUGGGGGCGGACUGUAAAUCCGUUGGCUCUGCCUGCGUUGGUUCAAAUCCAACCCGGCCCA
rfam:Candidatus Synechococcus spongiarum SP3 contig-70_319, whole genome shotgun sequence.